AACUUUUGGCAAUGGAUCACUUGGUUCUGGCAUCGAUGAAGAACGCAGCGAAAUGCGAUACGUAAUGCGAAUUGCAGAAUUCAGUGAGUCAUCGAAUCUUUGAACGCAUAUUGCGCCCUUUGGUAUUCCGAAGGGCAUGCCUGUUCGAGCGUCAUUAUCAACCAUCAAGCCUGGCUUGUCGUUGGACUCUGGUCGUGUAAAAGGACCGGUCCGAAAGAUAAUGGACGGGACCUGUCGGCCCUAGAUGCAACGAGCUUCACAGCACGCAUCGAAAGGUCGUUGGCCCCGCCUUUAAACCCCAUUUGCUCAGGUUGACCUCGGAUCAGGUAGGAAUACCCGCUGAACUUAAGCAUAUCAAUAAGCGGAGGCU
rnacentral:misc_RNA from 1 species